GACAGAGGGUGCAAACGUUGUUCGGAAUUACUGGGCGUAAAGCGAGUGUAGGCGGUUUCCUAAGUCAGGUGUGAAAGCCCCGGGCUCAACCCCGGGAAGUGCACUUGAAACUGGGAGGCUAGAGUAUCGGAGAGGUUGGUGGAAUUCUCGGUGUAGAGGUGGAAUGCGCAGAUAUCAGGAGGAACACCAGUGGCGAAGGCAGGGAUCUCUGGG
rnacentral:rRNA from 1 species